ensembl:misc_RNA 7SK 7SK RNA
GGAAGUGAGGAUGACAUGGCUGCAACAUCUGAUACUCCUCUAAUCUCCAGUGUUCAAUAAGAUGAUCUGGGUGUCUGGGGUGUCCUUUUUCUCCCUCCCAGCUUAUGGGCAUCAUUCCUGAAGCUGUCACUGGGUAGAAGAUGCCCUUCUGUAAGUAGAGAGGCCUUGUCUUAGGUUAAGGUGGUAAGACCAGACGUGUUCUGCUAGAACCUCCAAAUAAGCUCACAAAAUAAUGUGAAACACAUGGCAAUUCACACAUUAUAUUUGCUAGUUAAUGAAAGAUGCAUUUUGGAGGAAAUAAUUGCAUGUAUUU